rnacentral:lncRNA from 1 species
AGGGACUCCAGCCUCACCCUGAAUUCAUUCAUUCUGCGACUAGUGAGUGCGUGGGACUUGAGGGUGAAUCAGACCCUCAAGUUCAGGGCACUGUGGGGAAAUAUGGAUCUAGCCUCCAACCAUGACAGCCUAGGGCUGUCAAGAAGCCAUCAAGACCCCGGGACCCUUUACACAUCCGGAAGGCUUCCCAGAGAAAGUGAGGCCUAAAUCGAGCCCUGAAAAAUGGUUAAGAGGUUGCUCCAGGGACACAUUGGCAAAAGAAUUCUUGGCAGAAGAAGCUGAGACGUGAAAGAAACAGGUGAAUUCUGGUAAUUACGAGGAGUUCGAGUAUCAGGAACCAAUGCCAAUGAGUGUGCUGGAGAAGUACCAGGAGGCCUCUGGGCAGUUCAUGCAUCAGGCAGUUGGCAUCAUUAAGGCUGUCCUGGAGAAGUUUGGCACUUAUGAAAACUUUGAGGCUGCCACAGGGGGUCAGCUGCUGACCAAGUGCCAAAUUUGGUCCAUUGUGCGCAGAUACAUGCAGAAGGAGGGCUGUGUUGGGGAGGUUGUUGUACAACUGAGUGAAGAUCUGCUGUCCCA